GAUGAACGCUGGCGGCGUGCCUAACACAUGCAAGUCGAACGGAGUUUAACGCUGAUGAAGCUUCGGCAGAUUCUUGUUAAACUUAGUGGCGGACGGGUGAGUAACGCGUGGGUAACCUGCCUCAUACAGGGGGAUAGCAGUUGGAAACGACUGAUAACACCGCAUAAGCGCACAGGAUCGCAUGAUCUGGUGUGAAAAUAUUUAUAGGUAUGAGAUGGACCCGCGUCUGAUUAGCUAGUUGGUGAGGUAACGGCCCACCAAGGCGACGAUCAGUAGCCGGCCUGAGAGGGCGGACGGCCACAUUGGGACUGAGACACGGCCCAAACUCC
rnacentral:rRNA from 1 species